AGCAGCCGGCGAGACGGUCGCCUCCUCCGCCUUCUCAAUCAUUUUCAAUCGAUCUCAAUAACGAUGACGACGAGAUUCUCUACGGCGCAUCCGGCCACGAUCAAGCCCUUGCGAAUUCCGCCUCCAAUAAUUUGAUCCGCGAUGGCAAGCUCUCGUUUGGGGAAUCCCGAUUGGGAGGAAACAAGGGUUUGGAGUCGUCGUCAGCGGCGCAUUCUGUUGAUUUCCAAUCAGGAGAGCCGGAUAACGAU
rnacentral:lncRNA from 1 species